rnacentral:rRNA from 1 species
ACCCUUGUCCUUAGUUACCAGCACCUCGGGUGGGCACUCUAAGGAGACUGCCGGUGACAAACCGGAGGAAGGUGGGGAUGACGUCAAGUCAUCAUGGCCCUUACGGCCAGGGCUACACACGUGCUACAAUGGUCGGUACAAAGGGUUGCCAAGCCGCGAGGUGGAGCUAAUCCCAUAAAACCGAUCGUAGUCCGGAUCGCAGUCUGCAACUCGACUGCGUGAAGUCGGAAUCGCUAGUAAUCGUGAAUCAGAAUGUCACGGUGAAUACGUUCCCGGGCCUUGUACACACCGCCCGUCACACCAUGGGAGUGGGUUGCUCCAGAAGUAGCUAGUCUAACCGCAAGGGGGACGGUUACCACGGAGUGAUUCAUGACUGGGGUGAAGUCGUAACAAGGUAGCCGUAGGGGAACCUGCGGCUGGAUCACCUCCUUA